rnacentral:rRNA from 1 species
ACAUGAGUUUUUGUUAUAAUCAACAGUUUGUUUAUUCAAUGUAUUAGGUUUUACCAUCGUUGAUUGACGGCUGAGAAUAUGGCAAAAUAUGGCUCUGCCUAACAAACUUUAUCAUACAGUUUGACCUCAAAUCAGGUAGGAUUACCCGCUGAACUUAAGCAUAUCAAUAAGCGGAGGAAAAGAAACCAACAGGGAUUGCCUUAGUAGCGGCGAGUGAAGCGGCAAGAGCUCAAAUUUGAAAUCUGGUAUCUUCGAUGCCCGAGUUGUAAUUUGAAGAAAACAAUCUUGGAAUUGGUCCUUGUCUAUGUUCCUUGGAACAGGACGUCACAGAGGGUGAGAAUCCCGUGCGACAAGGAAUUCUUUUCUUUAUAAGAUGUUUUCGAAGAGUCGAGUUGUUUGGGAAUGCAGCUCUAAGUGGGUGGUAAAUUCCAUCUAAAGCUAAAUAUUGGCGAGAGACCGAUAGCGAACAAGUACUGUGAAGGAAAGAUGAAAAGAACUUUGAAAAGAGAGUGAAAAAGUACGUGAAAUUGUUGAAAGGGAAGGGUAUUCGAUCAGACUGGUAUUUAGUUAUCGCUGUUCUUCGGAGUGGUGCUCUAACUUUUUACUGGGCCAACAUCAGUUUUGGUGGUAAGAAAAUCGCAGUUGAAUGUGGCUCCUUCUGGAGUGUUAUAGCUUCUGUUGAUGUUACCUACCGGGACUGAGGUCUGCGGCUUUGCCUAGGAUGUUGGCGUAAUGAUCCAAUACCGCCCGUCUUGAAACAUGGACCAAGGAGUCUAACGUCUAUGCGAGUGUUUGGGUGUAAAACCCGUACGCGUAAUGAAAGUGAACGUAGGUGAGGGCCCUCACGGGUGCAUCAUCGACCGAUCCUGAUGUCUUCGGAUGGAUUUGAGUAAGAGCAUAGC